rfam:Gossypium arboreum cultivar AKA8401 contig_35663_1, whole genome shotgun sequence.
UGUUAAAAAAAACUAUUCAUUUGUACUGUUAAAAUUUAUUGUGGCUGAUGGAAUAAUCAGACAAUGACAUGCGGUGUACCAUGUGUACCUUAUGCUGAUGUAAAAAGACUUGUUUUUAAUAAUAGAAAUUGAUAAAUUUUUUUUACUA